rnacentral:rRNA from 1 species
ACGAACGCUGGCGGCAUGCCUAACACAUGCAAGUCGAACGGAGUUAUUAUUCAGAAGUUCUUCGGAAUGGAAGGAUAAGAACUUAGUGGCGGACGGGUGAGUAACGCGUGGGUAACCUGCCCUUUUGUGGGGAACAACUUCGAGAAAUCGGAGCUAAUACCGCAUAAUAAUAGAGGAUCGCAUGAUUCUUUAAGGAAAGAUGGCCUCUGAAGAUGCUAUCGCAAAAGGAUGGACCCGCGUCUGAUUAGCUAGUUGGAAGGGUAACGGCCUACCAAGGCAACGAUCAGUAGCCGGCCUGAGAGGGUGAACGGCCACAUUGGGACUGAGACACGGCCCAAACUCCUACGGGAGGCAGCAGUGGGGAAUCUUCCGCAAUGGGCGAAAGCCUGACGGAGCAAUGCCGCGUGAGUGAAGAAGGCCUUCGGGUUGUAAAACUCUGUCCUUAUCGAAGAGAGGUAGGUAUGUGAAUAAUGUACCUAUAGGACGGUAGAUAAGGAGGAAGCCCCGGCUAACUACGUGCCAGCAGCCGCGGUAAUACGUAGGGGGCGAGCGUUGUCCGGAAUCACUGGGCGUAAAGGGCGCGUAGGCGGUUUAAUAAGUCAGUGGUGAAAACUGAGGGCUCAACCCUCAGCCUGCCACUGAUACUGUUAGACUUGAGUAUGGAAGAGGAGAAUGGAAUUCCUAGUGUAGCGGUGAAAUGCGUAGAUAUUAGGAGGAACACCAGUGGCGAAGGCGAUUCUCUGGGCCAAGACUGACGCUGAGGCGCGAAAGCGUGGGGAGCAAACAGGAUUAGAUACCCUGGUAGUCCACGCCGUAAACGAUGGAUACUAGGUGUUAGUAGUUUCGAUGCUACUAGUGCCGGAGUAAACACAAUAAGUAUCCCGCCUGGGGAGUACGGUCGCAAGACUGAAACUCAAAGGAAUUGACGGGGGCCCGCACAAGCGGUGGAGCAUGUGGUUUAAUUCGACGCAACGCGAAGAACCUUACCAAGACUUGACAUCCUCCUGACAAGAUAUGUAAUGUAUCUCUUUUCUUCGGAGACAGGAGAGACAGGUGGUGCAUGGUUGUCGUCAGCUCGUGUCGUGAGAUGUUGGGUUAAGUCCCGCAACGAGCGCAACCCUUAUUUCUAGUUGCCAGCAGUAAGAUGGGGACUCUAGAGAGACUGCCAGUGACAAACUGGAGGAAGGUGGGGAUGACGUCAAAUCAUCAUGCCCCUUAUGUCUUGGGCUACACACGUGCUACAAUGGUCAGAACAGAGGGAAGCGAAGCCGCGAGGUGGAGCAAAUCCCAGAAAACUGAUCUCAGUUCGGAUUGCAGGCUGCAACCCGCCUGCAUGAAGUCGGAAUCGCUAGUAAUCGCGGGUCAGCAUACCGCGGUGAAUACGUUCCCGGGCCUUGUACACACCGCCCGUCACACCACGAAAGUUAGUAACACCCGAAGCCGGUGGCCUAACCCGCAAGGGAGGGAGCUGUCGAAGGUGGGACUGAUGAUUGGGGUG